UACGUAGGGGGCUAGCGUUGUCCGGAAUCAUUGGGCGUAAAGAGCGCGUAGGCGGCCAGAUAAGUCCGGUGUGAAAGUCAAAGGCUACAACCAUUUGAAUGCCGCUGGAAACCUUGUCUCGGCUAGAAGUCCGGGAGGGGCGAGUGGAAUUCCUGGUGGUAGGCGGUGAAAUGCGCAGAUAUACAGGAGGAACACCAAUGGCGAAGGCAGCUCGCUG
rnacentral:rRNA from 1 species